AAACUGGAGGGUUUGAUCCUGGCUCAGGACGAACGCUGGCGGCGUGCCUAACACAUGCAAGUCGUGCGAGAAAGGCCCCUUCGGGGGCUGAGUAAAGCGGCGGACGGGUGAGUAACGCGUGGGUAACCUGCCCUCAAGACCGGGAUAACCUUCCGAAAGGGGGGCUAAUACCGGAUAAGACCACGGCCACCACGGUGGCUGUGGCCAAAGGUGGCCUCUGCAAUGCAAGCUACCGCUUGAGGAGGGGCCCGCGUCCUAUCAGCUAGUUGGUGGGGUAACGGCCCACCAAGGCUAAGACGGGUAGCUGGCCUGAGAGGGUGGCCAGCCACACCGGGACUGAGACACGGCCCGGACUCCUACGGGAGGCAGCAGUGGGGAAUCUUGGGCAAUGGGCGCAAGCCUGACCCAGCGACGCCGCGUGGGUGAUGAAGGCCUUCGGGUCGUAAAGCCCUGUCAGGUGGGAAGAAUGCCCUGUGGGCUAAUACCUCACAGGGCUGACGGUACCACCAGAGGAAGCGCCGGCUAACUCCGUGCCAGCAGCCGCGGUAAUACGGAGGGCGCGAGCGUUGUCCGG
rnacentral:rRNA from 1 species